AAAUGAAUAGACGGGGGCCCGCACAAGCGGAGGAACAUGUGGUUUAAUUCGAUGAUACGCGAGGAACCUUACCCGGGCUCGAACGGCGAUUGAAUUUGGUGGAGACAUCAAAGCCAGCAAUGGCAAUCGUCGAGGUGCUGCAUGGUUGUCGUCAGCUCGUGCCGUGAGGUGUCGGCUUAAGUGCCAUAACGAGCGCAACCCUUACCGUUAGUUACCAUCAGGUUAGGCUGGGGACUCUAGCGGGACUGCCGCCGUAAGGUGUGAGGAAGGUGGGGAUGACGUCAAAUCAGCACGGCCCUUACGUCCGGGGCUACACACGUGUUACAAUGGGAGGUACAAAGGGCAGCUACACAGCGAUGUGAUGCUAAUCUCCAAAACCUCUCCCAGUUCGGAUAGGAGUCUGCAACCCGACUCCUUGAAGCUGGAUUCGCUAGUAAUCGCGCAUCAGCCAUGGCGCGGUGAAUACGUUCCCGGGCCUUGUACACACCGCCCGU
rnacentral:rRNA from 1 species